rnacentral:misc_RNA from 1 species
UAUGUUUUUCUGUGGUGUUAAGUGAC